GGGGUACGAGAAGGCAGCUACACGGCGACGUGAUGCUAAUCCCUAAAGCCUCUCUCAGUUCGGAUUGGAGUCUGCAACCCGACUCCAUGAAGCUGGAUUCGCUAGUAAUCGCGCAUCAGCCACGGCGCGGUGAAUACGUUCCCGGGCCUUGUACACACCGCCCGCCAAGCCAUGAAAGCCGGGGGUACCUGAAGUGCGUAACCGCAAGGAGCGCCCUAGGGUAAAACUGGUGAUUGGGGCUAAGUCGUAACAAGGUAAC
rnacentral:rRNA from 1 species